UACGUAGGGGGCAAGCGUUGUCCGGAAUCAUUGGGCGUAAAGCGUGCGCAGGCGGUUCGUUAAGUCAGAUGUGAAAGCCCCGGGCUCAACCUGGGAACUGCAUUUGAAACUGGCGGGCUUGAGUAUGGCAGAGGGGGGUGGAAUUCCGCGUGUAGCAGUGAAAUGCGUAGAGAUGCGGAGGAACACCGAUGGCGAAGGCAGCCCCCUGGGCCAAUACUGACGCUCAGGCACGAAAGCGUGGGGAGCAAACAGG
rnacentral:rRNA from 1 species